UCCACAUGGAUUAUUACUGUCUAACAGCAGAAAAGUUUCGGUCUUUAUAGCCAGUCUCUCCAUUCCCUUUUUUUUUAGGAUUAUCUGGGAGGCAGGUGUCAAUAUGGCGACACCUGGAGGCACCACGCUGAGCUUCAAAAAUGCUCUUUGCUAAAACCAAUGAGGACGUCACAGAGGCCUCAGCCGCUCCUCGAUGCAGUUGCGGGCCUGCAGGAAGACCUUCCUCUGGGUGCGCUCGGUGAGAAUCCUCACAAACACCCCCGACAAGUUUACGCUGGCGAACAGCACCGCGUUGGCCACCAGCUGCACAAAAAGAACAAGAACAGACAUGCCCGACUGAGCCGCCAGCAUCCAUGUGGCUUGAGAUGAUGAGUGCAGCCGAGGUGUUUGUAUCCGCCUGCGCCGCGGUGACACGGCGCCCUGCCCUGCUGGCUCAUUUUGCUCGCUGACAUUUCUCCAAAUUGAGGCUCUGACAUGAAGGACAGGUUGGUGCAGAUGAAGCUUCGGAGGUGACCGAGCAACAACAACAGAAAAAAACCCACAACCCCACUGCAAAAAAAAACAAAACAAAACAUAAAGGUGGUGAAGAGGGUGGAGGAGGAGGCUGCGUACGGUACGAGGAGGUCUGUGUUUGUGUAGAGGGUGUAAAUCUAUAAAUUUAUAAUAAACUUUGAAAAUGUCAGCGCGAGCCUAGCGCCGUGUCAGACCAGGUGACCCAGAGAUUGCGGCUUUGAUUUGUUGAGGCGUCCCGCUCUGGUAAUCGCAGCCAGGUGAUUUCCUGGUCAUGGACCUGAUGUGUGUGUGUGUGUGUGUGUCGGGGGGGGGUUGCCAGUUGGCAGGGAUACACAGGCAACAGAUAAAUGGCAACCGGGCUCUUCGGCACAUUCAUGAAUAGGAACUCCUCCAUUGGGGCUGAGGAGGAAGCUGCUGCUUCGCUGCUGUUUGUAUUCAUGAAUAAACCUGCUUGCUGCCAUUCAAAAAUAACACAAUUAGCUCCAGAAGACAAGGAACAAGACGAGCACGGGUCCCGCUCUCGCACCGUCAUAUUUAUACAACCGCUGGAGCAAACCUCUCGUCUGCAUAAUCGCUCUGCAAAUCCAUUUACUCAGUUUACGCUUAAAAGUGCAGUUGUUGUUAAAAAAAUAAUGAGGUCAAAAUCAUUAAAUCAUCAAAAUACGUCUUUGACACUUGUUGCUUUAAAGCCUUU